rnacentral:rRNA from 1 species
GAUGAACGCUAGCUACAGGCUUAACACAUGCAAGUCGAGGGGCAGCAUUUUAGUUUGCUUGCAAACUAAAGAUGGCGACCGGCGCACGGGUGAGUAACACGUAUCCAACCUGCCGAUAACUCGGGGAUAGCCUUUCGAAAGAAAGAUUAAUACCCGAUGGCAUAGUUCUUCCGCAUGGUGGAACUAUUAAAGAAUUUCGGUCAUCGAUGGGGAUGCGUUCCAUUAGGUUGUUGGCGGGGUAACGGCCCACCAAGCCUUCGAUGGAUAGGGGUUCUGAGAGGAAGGUCCCCCACAUUGGAACUGAGACACGGUCCAAACUCCUACGGGAGGCAGCAGUGAGGAAUAUUGGUCAAUGGACGAGAGUCUGAACCAGCCAAGUAGCGUGAAGGAUGACUGCCCUAUGGGUUGUAAACUUCUUUUAUACGGGAAUAAAGUGAGGCACGUGUGCCUUUUUGUAUGUACCGUAUGAAUAAGGAUCGGCUAACUCCGUG